GCUUACGGCCAUACCACCCUGAGAACGCCCGAUCUCGUCUGAUCUCGAAAGCUAAGCAGGGUCGGGCCUGGUUAGUACUUGGAUCGGAGACCGCCUGGGAAUACCAGGUGCUGUAAGCU
rnacentral:rRNA from 1 species